CGGCCGCGGAGGCCCCGGCGACCGGGCCCGCCCCGCUGGCCGGGACCCCGGCGGCGGUUGGGGCGCCGGGGGUCGCGUCCCCGGCGGCGGGC
rnacentral:tRNA from 1 species